rnacentral:lncRNA from 1 species
CCCACGUGGCUCAAUUCCUACUUGGCUCAUGACUCUCCUGGAUCUAUAGGAGAGCUUUCCAGGGAGUCUGUGUGUAAAGAGCCGGGCCUAAUGUUUGUCAGACAAGCGUCUACUGCUGCUGAGCUCACCCGCUUUGUUCUUAUGUCUCUGCUAACACAUGUCUGCCUGGGAAGCACCUUCUGUUGAGCCUGCCUCUCUUUCUCCUGACAUUCUUCCCAGAUGUUGCUCUGUCAACAAAGGAAGUCCCAGCCGCCCUUCGCUGAAACACCCAAUAGCGGCGUUCAAAGUACCCGAUUCCUUGAAACCGCCUGAAAUCUAUGCACGAACGAUCACAGAGCUGCCAUAAAGCAGCAGGCGCAUGCUUCGCAGAAUACAGGACGACUCAGCCUUUGCUGUUACGCUGGAAUCAUCACAGUAAGAAUGAGAGGUGGCGGGGCU